AGGGUGUAAACGCUGCAGACUUGGUGUUGGGAACCCUUCGGGGGUGCUCAGUGCCGGAGAGAAGUUGUUAAGUCUGCUACUUGGGAGUACGUCCGCAAGGAUGAAACUUAAAGGAAUUGGCGGGGGAGCACAACAACGGGUGGAGCUUGCGGUUUAAUUGGAUUCAACGCCGGAAAUCUUACCGGGACCGACAGCAACAUGAAGGCCAAGCUGAAGACUUUGCCGGAUUAGCUGAGAGGAGGUGCAUGGCGUAGUCGUGU
rnacentral:rRNA from 1 species